rnacentral:rRNA from 1 species
GACAGAGGGUGCAAACGUUGUUCGGAAUUACUGGGCGUAAAGCGUGCGCAGGCGGUUUUGUAAGCCAGAUGUGAAAUCCCCGGGCUUAACCUGGGAAUGGCAUUUGGGACUGCAAGGCUGGAGUUUGGCAGAGGAGACUGGAAUUCCUGGUGUAGCAGUGAAAUGCGUAGAUAUCAGGAGGAAUACCGAUGGCGAAGGCAGGUCUCUGGGCUAUAACUGACGCUCAUGCACGAAAGCGUGGGGAGCAAACAGG